AUGUAAUGUUGUAACACGAGCAAACGACUUCGGACGUUCACGAGCGACGUGAACCAGCAGAGCUGAGCAUCGAGGACGACCGAUGACAAAUUACAUUAACGGUUACGCCGUCUUUCGGCUUAUCUGAGAAACAGAGCGACUCGGUACCCACCGUAUUCGACUUUUAAAAUUGCGCUAUGAUGUCUAGAGAGGUUUAAACAUCGUAUGAUGUUUGUUGGACCCGUAUAGAUUAACGCCACCGAACACCCCCAUGUAUCAAUUCAACUUUAGAAGCAUGUGGAGCGACGCCAUUGGUCCAGCACACCAUGUGACCCCUGACGCACUCGGCUAUUUUCGGAAAUCUGCUAGGCUAUUUCCUUGGCGCGUAUUUUAAGACGUCCAAAGGACAUCACACCGCAUUGUGGUUAUAUAAUAAACUAAACCAUCCCCGUCGUAUUAUCGUUCUACCGUACGAAAAACAAUAAUAAAGGGAAGCCGACUUGCCCCGGUAUCUGUCCCCGUGGAAUCACGAACGAACUGCUCAACUAUCUCGACUCCUGGGAUAAUAAUUUUGUUCGUAUUUUAUAUAAGUAAGCAACUGAUUGAACAGAUCUCGGAUGGCCCGCAGGGUGGCUAGGAGUGGGUCGGAAG